rnacentral:rRNA from 1 species
ACGCACGCUUGCGGCAGGCCUCACACCUGCCAGUCGAGCGAGGACUUCGGUUCUAGCGGCGGACGGGUGAGUAACGCGUGGGAAUGUGCCCUUCUCUACGGAAUAGCCCUGGGAAACUGGGAGUAAUACCGUAUACGCCCUAUUGGGGAAAGAUUUAUCGGAGAAGGAUCAGCCCGCGUUGGAUUAGGUAGUUGGUGGGGUAAUGGCCUACCAAGCCGACGAUCCAUAGCUGGUUUGAGAGGAUGAUCAGCCACACUGGGACUGAGACACGGCCCAGACUCCUACGGGAGGCAGCAGUGGGGAAUCUUAGACAAUGGGGGCAACCCUGAUCUAGCCAUGCCGCGUGAGUGAUGAAGGCCUUAGGGUUGUAAAGCUCUUUCAGCUGGGAAGAUAAUGACGGUACCAGCAGAAGAAGCCCCGGCUAACUCCGUG